CAGGUCUUGACAUCCCUCUGACCGGUCCGUAACGGGACCUUUCCUUCGGGACAGAGGAGACAGGUGGUGCAUGGUUGUCGUCAGCUCGUGUCGUGAGAUGUUGGGUUAAGUCCCGCAACGAGCGCAACCCCUAUCCUUAGUAGCCAGCAGGUCAAGCUGGGCACUCUAGGGAGACUGCCAGGGAUAACCUGGAGGAAGGCGGGGAUGACGUCAAAUCAUCAUGCCCCUUAUGAUCUGGGCUACACACGUGCUACAAUGGUGACUACAAAGGGAAGCGAAACAGUGAUGUGGAGCAAAUCCCAAAAAGGUCAUCCCAGUUCGGAUUGUAGUCUGCAACUCGACUACAUGAAGCUGGAAUCGCUAGUAAUCGCGAAUCAGAAUGUCGCGGUGAAUACGUUCCC
rnacentral:rRNA from 1 species